rnacentral:rRNA from 1 species
CACGUAGGCACCAAGCGUUGUCCGGAUUUAUUGGGCGUAAAGAGCUCGUAGGCGGUUCGGUAAGUCGGGUGUGAAAACUUUGGGCUUAACCCAAAGCGUGCAUCCGAUACUGCUGUGACUUGAGUUCGGUAGGGGAGUGGGGAAUUCCUAGUGUAGCGGUGAAAUGCGCAGACUAUUAGGAGGAACACCGGUGGCCGAAGGCGCACUCUGGGCCGAAACUGGAACGCU